GCUUCAAUCCAAUAAAUAUAAUUUUUCAUGUCUUAUUAACCAUAUAUAUAAGCCAACAAGAAGAGGACCAACACUGCAUCAUCCAGCAGUACAAAAAGUUAUAUCUAUUGUACUUUGAGGAGGACCAACGCUGCAUCAAAUAAUUGUACUAAAAGUAAUAUGAAUUGUACCCUAAAUUUGGGCCCAUUUUAUUUCUUUCUUCUCUUGCUUAACCACGUGUCUAUGCAUGUAAAUUCAAUCUUUCUUCUCUUCUUCUAUUUCAGUUCUGUUUUCUUAAUUUCCUCUCACUAUUUAAUUUUCUUUCUCUGCCAAAUUGAUGCAUUCGUUUGCUCCAAAGUGGUCCUUCUUCAACAUUGGUGGAAUCUUUUGAAUGUGUUACGUUUUUCUUUUCUCAUCAGUUUAUUUUUUUGAAAAUUUUAUGCCUCUUUUAUAUUGAAACAAUUGGAUCGGGUAAUUUUGUUUAAGGUGUUUCUUCAAUUGAUGAUUUGAGAAUAAUUAUAUCCAUUAUUUGCUCAUUAUUUUUCAUGACCUCUUAUUGUUUGAAGUUUCUUGAAUUUUGUAUUUUUCAUGAGAUUUGGGAUUGUGACAUGACUAUUCAAAGUUACUGCAUGUAAGUAUUUCGUCAAUUUUUGCUUAUUUUCUAUUUGGAAUUGAAAAGUCAAGAGGAGGUCGUUUUCGCCGGCUUGAGCAACAACAAUUUCACGACGCUGUUCCUCCAGUAGGGCGGUUGAUCAUCGUUAACUUUGAUUUUCUCUUUGGAGGUUUUAGGAACUGUUAAAAUGGGUAUGGGCUAUUCACCUUCUGUUUUGUUUACCACUGUGGAGGUUUACUCUAUAUUAGAGACUGUCAAGAAUAUGGAAAAGAGUAUUAAACAAGUCUUGGAGUAGAUUUGCUUAAAAUUUGAGAUCUACAUAUAUGUGAACUCUAUGAACCUGGUGAAUUUAGUACUAAAUAGAUUUCUUGAAAAUUUUGGACAUGAAUUGCUAUUCCUGGAAGUUUACAGGACUCUCUUUGAAUCUUUGUUUAAAAUUUGAGACCUACAUAUAUGUGAAAACUUUAUGAACUUGGUGACUUUAAUACUAAAUAUAUUACCUGCUUUUUGGAAAGGGAUAGUUCGUGGUUAAGCCUUUUGAUGUUUACUGCAGUGUGAUGUUGAGAGAAGUGUAGGAUGUGGGAUAAGGUUUUAUUUAAGACUAAGUUGUUCGAACUCUUCACUUUCGGUGCUGCAUGGUGUCGACAUGACAUGGGUGUGGGGGGGAUCCAGGAUUCAUAUUAUAUAAAAGAUUUUGUAAGAAAGAGAAAUGUUAAGAAAUAUCACAAUAACUCGGCAACAAACAUUCAGAAAUUAUAAUGAUGCACUUAAAUACCAAGAUUUAUACAAUGGCGAAACAAGGGAAUGAAAGGCCGCUUUGUGUUGGGUGCUCUUUAACCUCUCCAUGAUGAUGACCCGUUGUCUUGGGAUCAGAACCAUCCAAUGAAGAAUAAGAGAAGAGCAAAGCACCAAAUGGCAUACCCUGUUGAAUCCAUUGAAUCAUAUAGAAGCGGAUGUAGUGUUUACUUGAGCUCAAUAUUUUCACACGAAACGUAAAUAUACCUGUUAAAUUACUAAAAUUUCAACAAACAUCAAACUCUAAACUCAUAAUUUCAACAAUAAAAUAAGCACUUAAGACAUUGAUAAUGCUGAUGUUGUGUUUUCAUUUGCUUAGGGAACUUUUACUCAUCAAGAUUUUGCUGGUCACAAGGGUACAAUCAAUACUGGUGAUGUGCAGUGGAUGACAGCAGGAAGAGGUAUAAUUCACUCUGAAAUGCCUGCAGGAGAAGGCAGUCAAAAAGGGUUGCAACUUUGGAUAAAUCUCUCUUCUAAGGACAAAAUAUAAGUUAUUUUCACCAGCUGUCUUCUCUUUUCUACAGUCCAUUGUAAACUUACAAUUAUAGGAAACUUUUAGUCUUAUAAUUCCUUUUGACCUAUGUCGCUCGAACUCUUUGAAAGUGCUGGUGUACCUGUGUCAGACCUCCAAAGAUGCACUACUGUUGGAGGAUUCGACACGCACCCGUUAGCAUUUUUAAAGAGUCUAAGCAACACAACUUUUGACCUGACCCCCUAUAUAUACUUCACACACCACUACUUUAUUGCACUUUAGCAUUUAGUAGUAAAAAUAAUGGUUACCCUUUGUCACCACUGUUUCUUUACAUGCUAAAGGACAUGAAUCAACUAUUUUUGUAGGACAAAAGAACUUCAGUAGAAGUAGGCAAAGGUGGAGUAAACGAGCACGCCGGAAAGGGUCAUCACUCUGGCAGCGGGACAAACGUCAACAUUGGUCAUAAAGGCGUUGGUGUUCACACUUGAAAGGGUAGCUCCAUUAAUGGUACAAACGUCAACGUUGGUCACGAAGACGUCAACGCAAACACCUCGCGUGGAACUCAUGUUGGCGUUGGCAAAGGAGGAGUUGGUGUCACUACCCAUGGCCACAAAGGAAAGUCGCCCGUCUAUGUCGGCAUAGGCAAAGGAAAUUCACCUUUUGUUUAUAAUUAUGCAGCUAAAGAUGAUUAACUUAAUGAUAAUCCCAAUUUGCACCAAGGGAGGAAAAUGAAGCUGCAGUUUGAGGAAAAUGAAGCUGCAGUUUGUGAAAACUGCAAAUGGUAUUGCUUUCUUGCCUCGUCAAGUAGCAGAUUCUAUUUCGUUUGUUCAAACAAAAUUUCGAAAAUUCUUAACCAGUUUUCUAUUGAUCUAAACUCUGAAGAGGCUCAAGCAAUGAAACAGUCUGUCCAAGAAUCUGAAGAGCCAGGUAUACAUAGUAAUAUCAUAAAUUUUCUUAAUAAUAUAAAAACAAUUUAACCAUUAUAGUGUAGUAGAAUAUUAUCUGUCUAUUUGUGCUGCUUUUAUCUCUUCUCCACCAUCGACCUCCGUCUGUCCCAAUUCCCUCCAGAAAAAGUGAAAACAUGUUGGCCAUUCAGACGUUUUUCCUUCAAGUCUCUGUAUCAGUUCUCCUUUCUUCUCAUUCAUCAGUCACCACUAGGUGCCGCAAAGUUUUCGUUAAAUUCACCAUCUUAUGUUGGUCGGAGGCAUCUCCUUUGACUAUUGUGAGCGGUAAUGUGGAUAAGAAACCUUAUGAUAGAACCGAAGUUUGACUCGGCUUGCCUAGGAAAGGCCAAUGGCUACUGACUCUCUCGAUCUUCUCAAGGUAUACAAAUUCCUACGCCGAUUUUCCUUGUAAACUACAAUUAAAUACUGAAUUUUACUUGUUUAUCUUUUUGUUGGUUAAUUACAUGAUUGUCAGCUAUCAGUUAAGCAGGUGAAUCACGAUAGUAUGUUGCAGAAAUUCCACAGGUAUGUGGUGUUUGUGCUUUUCUGAAAUCUGGCUUUAAUAUAUUGUUAAUUAUUUUGGUUGCUAUCAGUUUCAGCUCCUCAUGUCAGACUCUACGAGUUAAGAAUAGAAAACAACAUGUAUCCUGUUGUUUUUUUACUGGGUCAUGAAAAGAUGACUCUACCUAUUGAUGAGCUGAUUGAAAAAGCAGAAGAGUCUUGCUGGUGUUUUUCCUGUCAAGGGUUGUGGUCCAGAUUUACCUUUGGCUGCUAAGAUUAUUUUUAAGCCUACUAUUUGGUAAUGAUGUUUAAUCAAGUGUUAAAGCAAAAUAAAUAUGAACAUAAUUUAGUUUGGAAAAAUUCUUCAUUCUUGUGAUUCAUUUUUCUUUAGCCUACAGUGCGCUACCUAUCCUUUUUACUUCUUCUGCCUUUCUUUAGGUUCUUUCGAAUGGUAAUAGUAAUUUUUUUGUUUCUAUUGUUCCGAAGAAGAAUUGCAAGAAGACGCAUGACUUGGUUGCUGGUUCAUGGAAUUAGUUACAGUAUCAAAGAUUAAUAUUGGAGUACGUAGUAGGUAGAAAUUGCAUAUAGUAUUACAUGUACUGAACAUAUCAUGUUGUGUAAUAAAUAAUGUUCUACCUUUUCUUUGAUGAUGAUUAUAGAAUCUGGUAACUACGUUUCCUUCCC